UAACAGUGUUUGUUUCCUGUCUUUCCCCCCCUCCUUUCCCCUUGUCAUCUUCUACAGGCCAGCCACAUGGUGUGGGGUAUUGAGGAAGAACUUGGGAGCCCUGUUCCUCCUCGCUGUGUGUGGGGGUCUGCAUCCCUCUCACCCAUCUCCCCCUCAUCCCUUUACCCUGCAGGUCAAACAAAAUAUGCCUGCAGGCUGGCUGUGAUUCAGACAUCUCCACCUGGAACCUCUACUCUGGUCAUUUGAUUCUGCCUUUGUCACCCCGAACUCUUGUCCUCUCCUGGAUAAAUGUUCCCUCCUGACUCGUGGUUUUCCCCAAAUACAUGAUUUCCUACACUGCCUUCCUCUGGGCCUCUUUAGUUUGCUAACAUGUUAUUCUGAAUCUUGUUUUACAAAUGAUAGUAACCCAUCUAGUGCCCUUCACACCACUGUGUACAGCUUCUCAUUGUCAUUUGUUCUGUUAAGCAGGUUAAGUGCCCCCCUUAUUUGCAUUAUUAAUUUACUCAGU
rnacentral:lncRNA from 1 species